rnacentral:rRNA from 1 species
AGCGAACGCUGGCGGCAUGCUUAACACAUGCAAGUCGCACGGGCAGUAGCAAUACUGUCAGUGGCGGACGGGUGAGUAACGCGUAGGAAUCUAUCCUUGAAUGGGGGACAACCGUGGGAAACUACGGCUAAUACCGCAUGAUGCCUGAGGGCCAAAGACGAAAGUCGUUUGAGGAGGAGCCUGCGUCUGAUUAGGUAGUUGGUGGGGUAAAGGCCUACCCAAGCCUACGAUCAGUAGCUGGUCUGAGAGGAUGAUCAGCCACAUUGGGACUGAGACACGGCCCAAACUCCUACGGGAGGCAGCAGUGGGGAAUCUUGGACAAUGGGCGCAAGCCUGAUCCAGCAAUGCCGCGUGGGUGAAGAAGGUCUUCGGAUUGUAAAGCCCUUUUGGCGGGGACGAUGAUGACGGUACCCGCAGAAUAAGCUCCGGCUAACUUCGUG